AUUGAACGCUGGCGGCAGGCCUAACACAUGCAAGUCGAACGAGUGGCGGACGGGUGAGUAAUGUCUGGGAAACAGCCUGAUGGAGGGGGAUAACUAAGGGAAACGGACGCUAAUAACGACUACUAUUGGAUGUGCCCGGAUGGGAUGGGUUAGUGGGUGGGGUAACGGGUCACAAAGGAGACGAUGCCUAGCUGGUCUGAGAGGAUGACCGGCCACACUGGAACUGAGCCACGGCCCAGACGCCUACGGUAGGCAGCGGGGGGGAAGUUUGCACAAUGGGCGCAAGCCUGAUGCAGCCAUGCCGCGUGUAUGAAGAGGGCCUUCGGGUUGUAAAGUUCUUUCCGCGGGGAGGCGUUACCCGCAGAAGAAGCACCGGCUAACUCCGUGCCAGCAGCCGCGGUAAUAC
rnacentral:rRNA from 1 species